UACAGAGGUGCCAAGCGUUAGGCGGAAUCACUGGGCUUAAAGCGUGUGUAGGUGGAGAUCUAAGUACCUUGUGAAAUCCCACGGCUCGACCGUGGAACUGCUGGGUAUACUGGGUCUCUUGAGCCAACUAGGGGCGAGCGGAACAAAUGGUGGAGCGGUGAAAUGCGUAGAUAUCAUUUGGAACGCCAAUGGUGAAAACAGCUCGCUGGGGUUGUGCUGACACUGAGACACGAAAGCCAGGGGAGCGAACGGG
rnacentral:rRNA from 1 species